UAUCUCAUUGACUAGCCACUCAAUGACAUAAUACCUGCUAUCAAUUUUCAGCACAAAUGCAAUCAUUGCCAUAUUUUGUAAGACCAACAAAGUAUCAUCUGUACCUCAGGACAGUGGGAUAGUAUAGGAUACACAAAGACAUGGCUCCCCGUUCUUUGGCAACCUCACAUCAAAUCUCUACCAAACACAUCUCCAGUCUUCAAAAUAAUUUAGUUAUUAGAAAGGUGAUUGGACAAACCAGUAAAGAUUUUUUUCACUAACAAAAAGCAAAUCAGAACAGAGUUGGUCUUCUUCUCCAGUUACCCAGCAUUCAAAGCUCUAACUGUAGUCACAUUGUAAUAAUUUUAGACCCCAAAGCAGUGUGACCAUUUGAUGCAUAAUUUUCAACACAUGUUUUAUUAAUCCAGUCUUCCUGAGCUUCAUUUAAAAUACUGGAAACUAUAAAAAGAUCAGUGUGUUACUCCCCUGCCAGGAAAAAAAAAAAAAAAAAGAAAAAAGAAAUGAAAAAAAACUAACAAACACGAAAAAAGCCAGAGCAACUGGAAUCUCGGUCUUGAGGAAACACAUGGGAUUGAAGCAUCCGCCGGAGCUCUGUCACCGACUGUCAUCUGUGACUCUUCAGUGCUGAAGUCUAGAUGUCACCAGGCUGGGACGAGGAGGCGUGCGUGCAGGCGAAGUUCAGCACAGAGAGCAAUACCAAGGCAGUAUUUCUCCAGCUGUAGCCUACCGGCCACCUGUAUGGAGAGUGCCAACGGGACGUCGCUAACCUUGGCGCUCACAGCACUGCCUAAGCUAUUGGGCCCCAUUGCUAAGUCCCUGGCAGGGGCAGGCUGGGAACUGAACUGAAGCAUCCCAUAGUGCUCCCAAGGACCAUGGCAACAGUGUUUGAUAACUGCAUCCCAUUGUCAUAGAUGAUGGGAAACAAAGUUAUUCUCCAUUUGCUUCUUUUCCUGAAACCAUGUCAGGCUGUCUAGAGGAGAUCCACUCUGCCACCCAGCUGCUUUGAAAACUCAACAUUACCUACUGAUCUGAUUGAUACCUACCCUCAAACAGAUCUGCCCAGAGUACUUAAGGCUAAACUCAAGGCGGAUCUUAAGUGCUGGUAAACACAAGGCUAAGUUGUUUGGGAGCUAUAUUCCUGAAUGGCAUUUUCUUUUUCCAGCCAUACCCCCAUUGCGUACUUAAACUUCUCUAGUCAGAUUUAGGAACCAUGGAAAGUAUUAAUUAAACCCUAAAACACCUCAAGAGAUUGAAAGCCAACACAAAGAUACAGUUCCAGGGUGAAAUUCGUUCUGUGUUUUGCUUACUAAGAUUUUCAUUUGCCUAGUCUCCUGUCUUGGUUGGAAUUCUGUGGGCUCUACCGGCUGCUCCAUACCUCAACUGCAUACGUGUCUGCACUUGCAUCCAAAUUAGGAAAAUCCUUCUUUUUUGCCUUAACAUUCUAAAAAAAAAAGAGAGAGAAAAAAACUAAAGCAACAAGAAAAACAAAUUUUAAAUAAUUACAAAAAUGCAGAAGCAGAGACAUUUCCCAAAGAAAUGUUAGGUGUCUCCUGACAGAGGGAAGGAAAUGUCAAGGAGAUGGGAUGAAUACACAAUUUCUGUCUGAGGGUGAUGAAAGUGUUUUGGAAAUAGAGGUAAUGAUUAUACAACAUUGUGAGUAUAAUUAAUAUCACUGAAUUUAAAAACUACAUUUAAAGAUGGCUAAAAUGACAUAUUUGGUGUUACUCAUAUUUUACAACAAUUAAAAAAACCCCAAUAUGAGAACCUACUGUAUAGCACAGGGAACUCUACUUAAUGCUCUGUGGUGACCUAAAUGGGAAGGAAAUUCUAAAGAAGAGGGGAUAUAUGUAUAUGUAUAACUCAUUCACUUUGCUGUACAGCAGAAACUAACACAACAUUGUAAAGCAACUAUACCCCAAUAAAAAUUAAUUGUAAAAACCCCCAAUAAUGAAAUAU